GAGGGUGUAGCUCAAGAGGCAGAGUGCAUGCUUAGCAUGCACGAUGUCCUGGGUUCAAUCCCCAGUAUCUCCU
rfam:Camelus ferus unplaced genomic scaffold scaffold724, whole genome shotgun sequence.